rnacentral:rRNA from 1 species
AGGGUUUGAUCAUGGCUCAGAUUGAACGCUGGCGGCACGCUUUACACAUGCAAGUCGAGCGGCAGCGCGGAGGUGCCUAGCAUUUCUGGCGGCGAGCGGCGGACGGGUGAGUAACGCAUGGGAAUAUGCCCGACAGAGGGGGAUAACUUUGGGAAACCAAAGCUAAUACCGCAUACGCUCUACGGAGGAAAGCGGGGGAUCUUCGGACCUCGCACUGACGGAGUAGCCCAUGUCCGAUUAGCUUGUUGGGGUGGUAACGGCACACCAAGGCGAUGAUCGGUAGCUGGUCUGAGAGGAUGAUCAGCCACACCGGGACUGAGACACGGCCCGGACUCCUACGGGAGGCAGCAGUGGGGAAUAUUGGACAAUGGGGGCAACCCUGAUCCAGCGAUGCCGCGUGAGUGAAGAAGGCUUUCGGGUUGUAAAGCUCUUUCGCGGGGGAAGAAACGGCGCAAGUGAAUAAUUUGCGUUACUGACGGUACCCUGAUAAGAAGCACCGGCUACCUACGUGCCAGCAGCCGCGGUAAUACGUAGGGUGCGAGCGUUAAUCGGAAUUACUGG